ensembl:miRNA microRNA 22
ACUGGCUGACCCACAGCAGUUCUUCACUGGCAAGCUUUAUGUUCUCGUGCACCAGCUAAAGCUGCCAGCUGAAGAACUGUUGUGGUCGGCUCUU